AGAUUCCCAGACAAGAUCUCCAUCAUCUUCAGUUCUUGAGUCUCAAGCAUCAAUGAAAGCUGAGUUGCCAACAAUAAAAUGUGGUGUUACAGAUGUGGAAACUCAGACAGAAUGGAGUUACUCAGACAUGAGCUCAGAAGAAAAAAGGAGAAGGAUACUGGAGGAGGCAAGCAGGAGUGUCAAGGACAGC